rnacentral:rRNA from 1 species
GAUUCUGGCUCAGGAUGAACGCUAGCUACAGGCUUAACACAUGCAAGUCGAGGGGCAGCGAGAGGAAGCUUGCUUCCUGUCGGCGACCGGCGCACGGGUGAGUAACGCGUAUCCAACCUGGCCCUUAGUAGGGGAUAGCCCGGCGAAAGUCGGAUUAAUACCCUAUGUUGUUCAAUGAGGACAUCUGAUCUGAACUAAAGGUUUACCGCUAAGGGAUGGGGAUGCGUCUGAUUAGCUUGUUGGCGGGGUAACGGCCCACCAAGGCGACGAUCAGUAGGGGUUCUGAGAGGAAGGUCCCCCACAUUGGUACUGAGACACGGACCAAACUCCUACGGGAGGCAGCAGUGAGGAAUAUUGGUCAAUGGGCGAGAGCCUGAACCAGCCAAGUAGCGUGCAGGAAGACUGCCCUAUGGGUUGUAAACUGCUUUUAUAGGGGAAUAAAGUGAGGUAUGCAUACCUUUUUGUAUGUACCCUAUGAAUAAGGACCGGCUAAUUCCGUGCCAGCAGCCGC